rnacentral:sRNA from 1 species
CCUCCCUAUCCCGUUCCCUUCCCUGAAGCAUCCUCAGAGAACCCUGAUGCUCGUCCUGACACACCCCAUGCCCAGCUGCAGGGAAUGAUGGGAGGCCUCGGAACCUCUGGAGAACUAACUCAGUUUACAUACUCAAAUGGAAUAUGUUGGCUGAGAAGGGAGCAGAGGAGAUUAGGCCUUUAGUCCACUGUAUCAGUCGUGGGGACUCAGAAAUCCACACACAUUUCCAAGUUGAUGCUUCAUUCUUCUAUUCUUCUUGUUUGGGCAUCCCAAAAACUUUGUGGAUGGUCCAAACAAAUGCACUUCACCCAUGGGCUAUGGAGAUAACAGACCAAAGACCUCCCUCAGAAGGGAUAGCCACAUGCAUAUCAGCAGAAGGGCUCAGCCUUUAACUUCUGGCUUAUAUCUUGUCAGGAGCUUAUACUAAAGAGUGUUGAAGCAAAUCUUUAAUCAGGAGAGGCGAAGGGUGGCUCACAUGUAACACGGACUGAUAGAUGCCCAGGAAACUCAAGGGAAAUCUCUUGUGGUAGAAGGAGAGUUUAGCAAGGCAACGUGAGUGGAGGAGACAGUGUGUGAGGGGAUAGGGUGUGUCCACUCCUAACUAGACCAGGUUGAACAUGGAGAGCCUCUUUAGAGUCCUACUCCCCCGGCCUGGAGACACUGUAAUAGCAGAGCUGCACGUCCCUCUGGCCUUGUGGUGAUUCCCAACUGUCUCGGGGCCUUCACUCUUCCACACACACACUUCCUACUCUCUGCUCACACUUUGUAAGCCAGAGAUGGAUGAGGGAGAUCCUUAUCCAAAGGCAGAGUUCUGAGUGGCUAAGUAGACAUGUUGGUUAGGGUUGCAUUGGCCCUGGUUGCAUUAAGCAAAAUCUUAGAAGGCGACACUGAGAUUCAUUUUAACAGUCUCACGCCCAUCCUUGUUCAAUCCCAACACUUCUGCUUUUACAUUGGUUGGUAUUUUAAUUCUUUUACAAAUACAGCCAAUCAUACAGUCUGUGGUUAAUGUUGCUUUUAAGAUUGGCUUAGGAUUCUAUGGUAGGAACAGUAGUGAAUGCUGUCGUGAGCGUCAAGGAUCUUUCUGAAAAGUUCUGACAUUCAGUCUUACUGUUUUUAGGGAGGAGUGAGGAUUUCCGCUCUGUUUCAAACUCAGUAAGUAGUCUAGGCUGGCCUUGAACUCUUGUCCUCCACACCCCAGCCUGCUUAAUACUAGCAUUAUAAGCAUGUGCUACAGUCACCCAUGGAAGAUAUAGAAUGUAGACUUUUUCUCCUCUUUAAUUUAGUCUCAGACUGCUGCAUGUCCUAACAUAAGGACUCAGUACAAUAAAUACACAAUUAAAGGACAGUGAGUGGGUCAGGUGCUUGUGUGUUGAGCCUAACAAGCUAUCUGGUCCUUUGGACCCAAACGUCUUGGAGAGACCUGAUUCCUGAUAGUCGUUUUCUUACCUCAGCACUACACACCGGUGCGGACCGCAGGCAAGCACCUGCGCACCCAAAGGAAAGGGCGGGGCCCAGAGAUCCCCUACUCCGUCAACGCCAGAGACUGAGUGCUCAGCCCUUACUGGGACACCUGCAUAAAACAACCCCGCCCCAGGCUCAGAGAAGACAGCAGAAGAGGAAACGGAAAGACUAGAAAGGCCAGGGGAUGGAGCGGAGCAGUGAGACGCACUUUCUGCACAAGACGCGGCUAGGUCAGUCAUCUGAGCAGCUUUGUGGGAGGAGGAAUGACGUUUGUAGCAAAGCCUGUCAGGCGCUGUAGACAAAUACACAGAACCCACAUCAGACAUGUUUCCACUGUUGCUGGAAUGGCUGGUGAUAAGAAAGCCGGUUGAGCAAGUCACAAGGAGCAAGCCAGUAAGUGAGAAGCAUCCCUCGGUGGCUCUCUGCCCUCACUGCCUUUGAUGACAGCCUAUGAUACGGAAACAAAGUUGCACAUGGGCAUGGUGUUUCAUCAUUGCAAUGGAUACCCUAAGACAAUUUGGGUAAAGCUUCUUUUCAAGUCAGAGCAUGUCAACAGCUGGCCAUUUUGCACAUGUGCAAGGAGCAGGUUUUUGGAAGGCGUUCUUCUGAAGAACAAGGUGGAAGGCUGAAGGCUGCUACAUGGGGUCGCUGGUAUAAUACAAGUCUGGCAAUGGCCGCCAAGGCAUCAAUCUGAAACCAUCUUGCAAAGGCCUGAUUAUCAGGUGACUACAAAGCUGAACUCAAGGUAAUUCUCUAAAACUCACUACAGAUCAGCUGUGAGGAGUGUGACAGACUGCAGUCGGUGGCUUUUCAGGGCCUGAAAAAGUCCGCAGCAUCUACGUUAUAGUCCAGCCUGAUCCCAAAAUGCUUCAUCUUGUUUU